AUUGAACGCUGGCAGCAUGCCUUACACAUGCAAGUCGAACGGUAACAGGUCUUCGGAUGCUGACGAGUGGCGAACGGGUGAGUAAUACAUCGGAACGUGCCUAGUAGUGGGGGAUAACUACUCGAAAGAGUGGCUAAUACCGCAUGAGAUCUACGGAUGAAAGCAGGGGAUCGCAAGACCUUGUGCUACUAGAGCGGCCGAUGGCAGAUUAGGUAGUUGGUGGGAUAAAAGCUUACCAAGCCGACGGUCUGUAGCUGGUCUGAGAGGACGAUCAGCCACACUGGGACUGAGACACGGCCCAGACUCCUACGGGAGGCAGCAGUGGGGAAUUUUGGACAAUGGGCGCAAGCCUGAUCCAGCAAUGCCGCGUGCAGGAUGAAGGCCUCCGGGUUGUAAACUGCUUUUGUACGGAACGAAAAGCCCCGGGUUAAUACCCUGGGGUCAUGACGGUACCGUAAGAAUAAGCACCGGCUAACUACGUGCCAGCCGCCGCCGUAA
rnacentral:rRNA from 1 species